rnacentral:lncRNA from 1 species
CCUCCCUCCCUCCCUCCCGGCUCCCACCGAUCAAAUGCCUGGGCGCCGUGCCUUUUGUUACUGGUCACCAGUCGGAGCGUGCGCAUCAGGGCAGAGCCGGUGGAUGGCCCAGUUUAGCGUCCCGGCUUUCGUCACGCCGGCUUCAGGUGUGGGUACAGGACAACCUGUGGCUGGAGGCCAAGGUACACGGAGCUGAGUCAUACACUCAGGUCAGCGCGGGGGACAGCUGCCAUAGGAGAGGAGCGCAAACACAAACAGGUUUCCGUGCCAACGGCACCAAAACAGAAUCCACCCGUAUCUGCUUGCAGCGCUAGCAGACAGAUUCCAAACCAGUCGUUAAAGGGGCAGCGUUGGUGCAGAGCGCUCCUCCGCAUGUGACCCGCUCGCGCGCUCGCUCGCUGCAGAUAGGAGCGCACGGGAAAUGUGUUGUUUCGAAUUCAGCUCGUCCCCGCUGUCAGUGGAGGGCGACGAGCAGGAGAGGAGGCUGGUCUUCCAGUGGGUGUCUCCCCGACGCACGUGAUCACGUUUGUUGCGAGAGAGUUCAUGACUCACUGGCUCCAGGCUCAGGAUCCUCGUCUGGCCUCUCAUCCCACCCUCUGAGGCAGCCAAACAGUAGUUGUGUGAGUAACGCAUUCACCAUCAAUGUGUCAAAGAGAAAUGUGGAAGAACAAACCAAUGUAUCUAUCUAUCUAUCUAUCUAUCUAUCUAUCUAUCUAUCUAUCUAUCUAUCUAUCUAUCUAUCUAUCUAUCUAUCUAUCUAUCUAUCUAUCUAUCUAUCUAUCUAUCUAUCUAUCUAUCUAGCCAUAUACUAAAUAUUCUUAAGGCCUUUACCUAAUAACUUGCUUUAGGUACUUGUACUUAUACUUUUCCACAUAUUGUUGCUUUACUUUAAUGCCCUUCAGUGGUUACUAGUUUCUAAAAGAACUACAUUUGCAUUCAUAAAUUCUGAUUCAGUAUUAUAAGUAAAUAUAAUGUAAAGCAGUUCCCAGUAAAAACAGACAGACAAUGGCAGGAACCGUCCAGUACUAUUUAAAACUGCUACUAGUCUUAUUACAUACUUUAUUUAUGCUUAUUUGCUAAGAAUGUUAAAAAAAUGGUAUUGCUAAUUUACUUAAAUCCUCAUGCUGCACCAAAGCAUAGACUGCAUGCAUCCCAUGAUAAGUG